CGUCACCCACGUUUUUUUAUCGUUUCCAAUCCAUCAAAAGUGUUACAAAAUUACCUUUCCAAAUCCCCUUCUCUGAUCAAUGCUUACUUCAUCUUUCCAAUGGUCAUGUCGGUACUCACCUUGCAUUGGAUUUCACAAAACUAUUGUGCAGGCUGUAUCACGCAGGAAGAAAGUAAAGCAUGUGUUGUGAGGGUGUGUAAACUCAACAAGAACAAACCUUAUAUAAAAUAAGGGAGGAUAAGAAACAGAGGUUGAUCAAGGAUAACAAUUUUGUUUCAUUCUAUAUUCUAUAUUUCUAUAAUA
rnacentral:lncRNA from 1 species